rnacentral:rRNA from 1 species
UACGUAAGUGGCGAGCGUUAUCCGGAAUUACUGGGCGUAAAGCGUGCGUAGGCGGCUCACUAAGUCGGAUGUGAAAACUCCAGGCUCAACCUGGAGACGCCAUUCGAUACUGGUGUGGCUUGAGUUCGGUAGGGGAGCACGGAAUUCCUGGUGUAGCGGUGAAAUGCGCAGAUAUCAGGAGGAACACCGGUGGCGAAGGCGGUGCUCUGGGCCGAAACUGACGCUGAGGAGCGAAAGCGUGGGUAGCAAACAGG